UAAAAACAUUACACAUAUCGAGUUCUAUUGCAAAUAUAGCUAGUUACCGUGAUUCAUUUGAGGUGACUGUACAGACACUUAUCUGUCUAGCCUUAAGAGUGCACAACAUAUACGUUUAAGAUUGUGAAUUGUUUUCAAAAAUAGGUAAGAAACUUGUUUUUCUGUUUUUCAAUCAACACUAUAAACAGCGUCUCAUUUAAUUUAUAUUGUUAUUGUUUGAAUCUUGAUGCUCCAUUUGUUAUAAAUGAAACGAAUUUGAUUACUAGGAUUAAUUUCAGUUUCAGCAGAACAGUUUGUACUGUGGAAAUGGAUUAAUAUAAGUUGUAAUAACUUGUCUCCCAAUCCACUUUAAAUACAUAUCUUUUACUAAAUUAAACUCAACAGUUCGUAAAAGGUUUAGCUAGUUAAAAAAUCCAGGUUUAAUCACCCAUUCUCUGCAUAAGAAAAUGCCUGUACCAAGUCAGGAUUAUGACAGUUGUUAUCCAUUCGUUUGAUCUUUUUAUAUUGCCAUUUAAUUAGUGACUUUCCUCUUUUAAUAUUCCUCGGAGUCCAGUUUUUUUUAGGAAUGCUGAAAAAUGUAUUAACGAAAUGUAAGCAUUGUUUGAUUACAUGUGAACAUAGGAAAAGCGGAUUUUUUUGUUUGUAAGAACAGAUGAGAAAAUUUGCACAUAACUGACCACUGUUCAGUGAUUCAUUAUCUUAGGAUAAGGAGUUGCAUACUCCGCAUGGUUAAUAAAGAUCAAAAUUAUUUGAUUUUGUUACAGCUGUAUUCGUUAGAAAUGUGUUGUGGAUAAUUAAGUAGAGAUACACGCGUAUGGUCCAAAUACUCAUAUGGUCCGGAACAUAUACAUAAUUGGGGAAGCUUCGGUUGUAAUUGAACAAUACUGUGGAAAGUAUGAACAAUCCUGCUUCGUUUGUUAUAAAAUAAAUGCGCAAAAAAUGGAAAUGAAAAUCUCAUAUUUGUUUUAUCAAAAGGUACUUGAGGGCAAUAAAAAGUUUUAAGGUUAAAACAAAUUUGCAUGACAAAAAGGUUUCAGCGUCGGUUGGGAUUGUAUAAUAUGCGGGUUAUCUAAACAGUUGUGUGUUUAAAAAUAACAAGUGAUUGUUAUAUUUCAUUCAUUAAUUCGUUACAGUUGUGUAUGAAAAUAACCAAUAUUUAUUUAAUUUCAAGCAAAUUAUUAUUUUUCUUUAAUCAUAAAAUAGCGACAAUACCAGUGACUAAAGCUAUUCCUUAUAAUAUCAAUGAAUAUAUCAUAUUUAUUACAGCUUGUUCUUCACUAUCGACAAUUACUAAUAACAAUUUUCAUUAUUUUAUUAAACGAAUAGCCUUAACAAUUUUAUUGCUAACAGUGUGAAAUGUAAAAUACAUCGUGAUAUUGUUUUCUGUCUGAUUUAGAGGGCACUGUAUCUUUAACUGACAGUGUAAUAAAUUCUAAUUAAGUCGGGUUCCUAUUAAUUGAUUGAUCCUCCAAACAAACUUCCGCAUCCCAAGUUGUAUUUUGCAUUAGACUUUAUUAGUCAAUCCAUAAAGAUAAGAAAAAUAUACGCUACCACGCAACUGUUUUCACUUCAUUUAAUAUAUGUGCUCGAAUUAAGGAUGAAGUAGUCUUUAAAGGUUUGGAAGUUUAAUUGUUUUUGUUGGAUUACCAUUAAUAGCAUUAACCACCGUCGAGACAUCAGAUAAUUAAUAAGACUAUACUCAGAAUAUGUUAUUAUGUUUUCAAUCAAAUAUUUUUUUUUUUUUAUCUUAAGGAAAAGCUAUAUAUAAUGCAGUAUUCAAUUAUCUACCAGAUGCGAGUUUGUCAAUAAAAAAAGUUUGAAUUGUGUCUUUAUGUUUUUGAAUUUCGUACAACAUUACAUGGUCUGUAAAUAAAUAUUAUCAUGCUAAGAUCAUCAAACAGGACACCUUCAAAAAGUUGACUGUGAAGAUAACACUUUAAACAAAAUUCAUUGAUAUUCUUUUUAAUUCAUUAUGUAGAAUAGCUUGGGACAAUAUAAUUUAAAUCAAGAAAAAUUUGAGAAAUGGGUAGAAAAUAUUGAUACUUAUAAUUGUUAAGGGUUCAAACACUUUGUUCGAAAUAACCAGAAAUUCGACUUAAAAGUAUUCGAGAUUACGAGAAUCGACUCUAUGUUGAAGUUCAACUAAGAUUUUGUUCAAACAAUGUCAAUUCCAAUAUGCUCAAUUGUUAUUGCAUUUUUGUCACCCAAAAUAGUAUAAAUUUGUAAUGGUUGGAACCUUAGAAUAUGAAUAUGAAAUAUCCUCAUCGAUUUUCUACUUAUGUCCGAUACCUUGUUGUUGAAUACAUUUUUAUACAAAAUCAUUGUCUCUUAUCACAAUUAUGCUUUAUCUAAUUAACCAGUUUUCAUCCCAAGGUAUUUCGUUGCACUGAGUUAACAUUUAUGUUAUAACAAUUAAUUUUAAAAAUGUAAACUAUUUUCAAAAGAACUAUAAAAAUAUUUAUAAGUAUGAUUAUAUUAGAAAUAAGGAUUGGUGUAUGACAGAUCAUACUUUAACUUUUUGUUAUGGUAACAAACAAUUUGAAGCUUUCACAUUCAGACAAAUAAAACAAUAAAUUAAGUUACAGAGGAGAGCUUAUGAAUUCAGAUAAAAAUUGCACUAGUGAUUCAGAGAUUUGUGACAUCAUCUGAUGAAAAAAUCAAUUUAAUCGGCAUUCUUAAAGUAAACGAAAAACGUUUGGUAGAAAUCUUAUUCCACAAUCAAGUUCAAACCAUAAAAUAGAAAUACAUAAACCUGUGUAAAUAUAAAGACAACUUGACCAAGAUACAUGUAACAUAUAGAUUUAUUACAACCUUUGACUAUUCAAAAAUUACACUCGGGCUAAAAUAAAACAGUAAACAAAAGUGUGUCUCAUAUCUCAGUGAGAUCCGUGUAUCUAAAUUUGUUCAGGACAGAUUGUCUUGGAAAGUGCUGAUUGAGAUAAAUGAGUUUUUACUGAACGCAUUCCAUUGUCGGUGGUGUUAUUCCUAAAAUCAGUGGGUGCCAGAUCUGGUUUACGAAAAAACAUCUGAAGAACUAAAAAAAAACCUUGAUAAAUCAUACAAGAUCUAGAAAUGAUUAAUUUGCUACCAAGAUUCUACUCGUUUUUCACAAAAAUUAAUCAGAUUCUUACAACUGAGAAAGGUUAUUUUUAUGACAAAAAUUUAGCUCUUUGCACUUAAUUUAUCACUUGAAAUAAUGAAGUAUCAAACAACAUAUUCAUCAUUUUAAUGCAAUGUAAGAUGUUUACUAAUUUAUACUGGAUGUGAUCCAGAUUUAGCUGGCAUCGCUGUGAUAUGUUCAUUGCUAUCAACUUCCAAGUAGAAACUUAGUUUCUGUUUGUCGCAAAGUACUACGUAUUUAGGAACUAGCAUACAGUGCUCAUAUCAAAAUCAACAACAGAGCUAAAGACUGUACUGUAAUCGUAAACACGUCAUCGCAUAAACGUCCUUAAUAAUCGAAUAUUUAAACCAUAAAGUUAUUUCGACACCAAUGGAGAUAUAAAGGGGAAAAUACUUAUAUGUACAGUUGCUCCAUAAUGUUAAUCAAUAUUAAAAGUAUUGGAAGCAAGCAGACAUACACGUUAAUUACUGAAGAAAAUCACGUAUACUGCAGUUCUUUUUUAAUGUUUGUAUACUGCACUUGUAUUAAGAUGUUUGUAAACUGCACUUCUGUUUAGAUGUUUGUGUACAUGUAUAGAUAUCAUAAUAGUUUUGAAGAUAGAAAAUUUGGUAAAAAUAAAUAUAUUCUAAAAAGGAUAUUUUCAUUAUUACAAAUGUGUUAAAUGUUAAAAUCAGUACAUAGUGUAGUAUGCAAGAAAAGUCAAUCAAUGCGUGGACACAACAUUUUUUGCACUGCUUUAAAUAUUACAGUUUUUCCAUCUUUUGUCAUGUGCGAGACGACAAACAGAUAAACACUUACUAAUAGGCAUCGACAAUUAAUUUUUGUAGUGGUAAUAACUUAUGUUAGAACAAACACAUUUCUCUACUUUAAUACACACAAACUGCCUGUUUCAAUACAAUGUAUAAAGAAAUAUAUUUUGGGAACACAAAUGUGAUUGUUUUUUGUUUUCAUAAUUUGCAAUAGACACCAAUAGUUUUUCACUUUCCUCAUGAUUUUUUUAACUAUAAAUAUUUUUCAUUUUUAGUCUUUUAAUAAAUGUUCAUAUUUAUCGACUGCGGUAAAUUCAGUACUGCACUGACAAUUCAGUAUAAUGUUUAUCUGUACCGGUAGAUAAAAAAUACUGAACAAUCUAAACACACACACAAAACAAUCUUAAAUGACUGUAAGUGAAUUGUCUAAAAAGCACUUAAUUUACCGCAAUGGAUAAGCCUGCAAAUAAGCUCAUCAUAGAUACCAGGAUUCAAAUUUUGUGUUUGCGCCGGACGCGUGUUUCUUCUAAAACAAAAACAAUCAAAACCAAGGAGUAAACAAAGACUCACAAAACCAAAGGACAUUAACAUCAACAGUUAUAAAUAAUAAAUAAGAAACGACACGAACUCCACUAAAAACCGGGAGUGAAAUCAGGUGAUCCGGAAGGUGCUCUAUAAAGACACUAUAUACUGGCACUCCAUUAAAAAAAGCUAAAAAGACCAAAUAAAGAACGAAGUUAUAGAGCAUUGAGAUCCAAAAUUCCCUAAACAAUUUGCCAAAUACAGCUACGGUAAUCUAUUGUUGAGGAUGAAAAUUACUUAUCUAUAGCGCCCAGUUUAUCAGAGCUGUUGAGGUCAAAGUGAUCCUUUCAGACUAAAAUGUUUUUUACUAGUAUUGUACAACUUUUGAAAUAAGCCGAUGCAAUGAAAGUCAUAUUACUCAUAAUUAAACUACAUUUAUGAUUGUGAAACAAGUUUGUUAUUUGGCUUUACACGUACAGUGCAAUAGAUUUAACUCAAUGUAUUACUUAAACAAAUGAUGCAUUCUAUAUUUUACUGAUUAAUCCCCACAUGGACAUGGAUUUCUGUAAUGGGUGAAGAUUUAUAUAAUUGUGCCAAACACGUAUGCAAUUUACAUGUACAUGUAGUUGUUUUGCCACUUGUAAAUUACUAUGUGAAACCGUCACUCUAAUAUAUACAAAACUGUAGAAAGAUGUACAAUAUAAAUUGUUAUAUUUCGGGAUUGUUUUUUUUUUUUUUUUUUGUCAUUUUUGUUUGUUGACAUAUUUUGUCAUAUUUGUCACAUAUUUGUACUGAUUAAGACAAAUAGUAAGCCAACGAUAUUGUUGAAAGUUUUGAAGUGUUAAGGAUGGACGCGUUUGUCCAGAAAAAGUUUCAAAAUAUUGUGAAAGAAUAAUCAAACCUGUAUGUACGAAUAAUCGAUGAUGACCUUCUCAAUAUCUUUCGGCUAUAAAGCUAUUGUCACAUUUGCAGUCAGCAAUCUUAAAUUAGAAGUUAGAAUGUUAGCUUAUAAUUUUAAAAUUAUAACAAAACAAUAUUGAUAUCAAUCUUAAAAUGUAUAACGAGAACAAAAACGAUAGUAUUUAACUGUUUUUGUAGUUGUGUGGUAGAAAUAAAAAGAUAAAUUGCUGAAAUAGUAAAGUUUGCUUUUUGCCAAAAUGGUCAUUAUCAUCUGAACAUCAUCUGAACAAACAUUAAAUUUUAAUAAAAGCUUUAACAAAUUAACGUUAUAUUUCAAACAUAUUCGAUCCGUAAUGUCAUAAAAUUAAAGUAUAGUUUAGUAGAAUAAAAUGUGUAUGCGUAGAAUUUUGCAGUUUUCCUUAUUCAGUUGUGUCAUAACGGUAUUAGGGUGUUAAAAAAUUUGGCGAAGUGAGACAGUCCCCGCAGAUAACCUUUACACCACAUUUUUUUUUAAAUUCAUAUUAAUUUGAAAUAGGAGAAAAGAUUAUAGAUAGUUUAAGACAAUCAUGAUAAUGUACAAACUACAUUCAAACUAUAUCAAGGAAGCCACGAUAGUUAUUUAAGACAUGUUCUAUGAUGUUGAUGGUCAUAAACAGAAAUAAGAUAGUAAUUACGUUUAAGCUAGAUAGAAGUCUUUUAAGUCAGUGAAAGGAUAGUGUCCUCAAAAGAAAUAAAUAAACGUUUAUAUAAAAUGGAAAAUAUUAAUUAGAAUAAAACAUUACAAGUAAAUCGUGUUUGAAAUAUAUGAUAUCUCGUGAUAGUUUAAUGAAUAUUAUUUACUUGUAAAUAAAUGAUUGGAUAUUUGACCAGUAAGUAGUCAGGACCUCGGUUCUGACAAGUUAGGAACAAACACUGUUUUUUAAAUCAUACUUAAGUUUUAAAAAUUAAGAUGUUAUUAAGAAACUUUCUCCGGCAAAGUUAUAUAAGUUGGAUUCAUCUAUUGUUUUAGGUUCUUCCUGGUUCUGAUUCAUUUCCUACACUUUAUUGGUGUUCUAAUAUUCGACUUAGAGCGUUCAUGGUAAUAAUCAUAAUCUUUCUGAUUUCUUAAUAUCAAUUUUCGGAAAUAGAGAACGUAAUAAAAAAAAGUUACUUUUCCCAUGUUUAAUCCUGUUUGUUUUCAAUUUGAAAAAUAGGAAACAUAUUUAUGUAGAUAUAGUUGAUGUGUUUCCAUCGAUUUCGGUUUGUGACUCGGAUAUAUUUUCGCUUAAUCGAUUUAUGACUAUUGAAUAGAGGGCUAAUACUGUUGCCUUUAAUUACAUUUCAUGUAUGCAAAUUGUUAAUACAAAGAAUAAAAAAUACAAGGCACCAUUAAUUCUUCAAAGGUUCAACUUGGAUUUUAUAUCAAUAAGAUAAAUAAAAUUAAGAAUGAAAAUGGGGAAUGCGUCAAGGAGACACAACCCGACCAAAGAGUAUAAAUGAGUAUCAAUGAUACGUCGAAUAUUUUGUAGGGUUAAAUAUAUAAUAAAAAGAUGAUGUAGUAUACCUGUUGUUUAAUUAGAUCUGCGUAAACAAAGCUUUAAAGCCUCCUUUUAUGCUUGUUUUCAAAACAAGUUAAAGUUUUUUUUAUUGUUUAUCAAUGUUUAUCAAUUGAAGCAUACACAAUCUUUUGAUAUUUUUUUUGUAAAAGUUUAAAUAAUUAAGUACAGCACUUCAUCAAGUGUAAAUUGUUAAGUGUUUUAAUCAUUUAACCUCUAAUCGAUUAUUAUCUUUUCGGCAGUUAGUUUUUUUUAUCAGCUAUUUUAGUGUAAUAACACUGGAAUGAUGUAUAAAAUGUAAAUGUUUACGCUUUUUAAACUUUUGACAUGUUUCUAAUUUAAAGUUUGUGUAUACUUAAUGAUGGUAUAAAUAUUUUUAUUAGAAACAUCAAAGGAUAACAUUCAUUUUCUUGAAUGUUUUAUGUAUUUUUACAAAUGGUUCAAUGCAUUGUAUACAUCAUUGAUUUAUGAAAUUCAACUAACACUUUAUCUUUAAUGGAAUUUUGUCCGUUCGAGUAAAAAAAAUAUGCAGAUUUUUGUGAAAAUUCACCGAUAAGAAUUCAUUUUAAAGUCUGCAUAAGUGUGUUUGAAUUAUAUAUAUAUAUAUCAUGCGAGAAUGUUCCUCAUAAAUCAACGUAAUACGAUGACGAAAUAAUCAUAUCAUACGCAUUUCAUAUUACAUAUUUUUGGUCAUAAACUCUGUUAAUUGGAAAACAACCAAAAUUCUGUCAUUUGUAACCACUAUUUGAUGAUAUUUUGUGUAUGUGUAACUGCUUGCUGUUCGGUGUGAGCCAGAGUCCAUGUUAAAGGCCGGACCUUGACCUAUAAUGGUUAACUUCUAUAAAUUGUUACUUGGAUUGAGAGUUGUAUCAUUGGUACUCAUACCACAUCUUCCUAUAUCUGUAUACAAUAAAUAGUGUAUAAAAUAAUAAUUUUAAAUGAUAAGUCCUUUCCUCCUAGAAACUUAUCGAAUUAUUUUUUCUUAUGCUAACUACCUGAUAAAUUUCUUUAAUUGUUCAUUUGACACGAUAAAUAAAAGGUAACAUAUAAACGAUGUUGAGUCCUUAUCCUUAAGACCCUUAACUUUACAAAUACUUCAAGUCUGCUUACAAGAACGUUUUUGUGACCAAGGGUCUUUUCAUGUCGAAACUUGUGCAAUAUUUUAAUCAUGCCAUCCAUAUAUGACUUUCAAAGAGUACCUAUGUGACGGAUAAUCAAAGGAACUUCUCCAUUUGUUGAAGACAAAUCAAUUCAUAUGAUUCACCACGAUAUAGAAAUUGAACCAAGUUCUUGCGAAUGAACAAAACGUACAACCCACUUUUUUUUCUGUGUGCGGCUGUUAAGAUGUUGAGGAUGUAUAUAAACGUAGCCAUAUCAAGUUUGAUGCAUGACAUUAAAUACCUAUGUCUCGUAUCGGGACGAUGCAAGAUUUGAUUUCAUUGCAAUUGCUAGGGACCAUGUGUCGCUUAAAUUUUCAUCAUAAUAUUUUUUUACUUAAAACAAUGAUAAGUUGACGAUAAACAACUGAUUUAGGUUUUCAUUUUUUUUCUUUUUUAAUCAUUUUCUUAAAGGUAAAAACUAUAAGGAUUUUCAUAACAUAACUGCAUCAGUAAGCCACCUGUCAUCAAUCGAUAAAUAAAUCAACUAUUAAAAGAAAAUGUUUCAUAAUCGUUCAGGCUUACUAUUUUAUUGUAAGACAUAUUCCUCUGAAACGAUUUUUUUUUAUGUUCGUCAGGAAAAUUCUUAAAAUAACUUGCACAGGAGGUUCAGGUAAGCGACGUAUAUUUUGUUAAAUGUUUCUUGUUUAUGCCUAAGGUAUAUAAAAGUCAAAUUUAGGCUAGAGCCAUAAUAUGAAGCAUUGUCUUUUGGUCAUUUACAGCAACGAAGGCGUCAAAAUGAGUCAUAAAGGAUAAUCAACGGAAAUACAAUUGGGAAUUUUAUGGAACGUCGGUUGAUUAUUACCAAUCUGAAAGUAAAAACAAAAGCUGUCUCGGUAACAUAUUUAAGUUUAAACAAGAAAGUUUACUUAAUAUAUGCAUAAUUUAACCUGGUUAAAUUAAGUCAUUUGGAUUAUUCACAUUUGAUAAUGACCACCCAAAUGAUUGACUGUGUGUAUGCAUACGGUCAUUUGGAAAGGAAAAGUUGAGCUGAGGGAGAUGUACGUUUGACUUUGUACAAUGUAUGAAUACGCGAUUAUGCCAAUAUAUAUCAAGCAUAUCGAAAUGCAGAGUCCAUCAACCCGGCUGAUUCACGUUUUACAACGUACCGGAAAUAAUAAUAAAACUAUGCUUUCGUCCUGGAUAUGCAUAAAAUAUUUGUGAAUGGGCUUUACGCAAACAGCAAUCAAUUUUUUGUCCUCAAUGCUCUUCAACGUUAUACUUUAUUUGGCCUUUUUUUUUUUAUUCGAGCGACACUGCUGAGUCUUUAGUACACGAAACGCGUUUAAUUAGUACUCUCUUAUAUGAUUUUGAUAUACAGUCUAGCAUAUACCAACUUUGUAAAAAUUGAAACUUAUCUGACGUUAGUAUAUCUUGUUGACAACUUAAUCAUCCUUAAAAGAUUCGUGUUUAUUGGUCAAUUAUUCGUACCAAAAAAUAAACUAGAAAUUGCAGACAUGUUAAGUGGAAUGUUAAUCGGAUAGCAUUUUAUGUCUUAGAUUUUCCAUCUCCUUCAACGAAUUUUAUUCAGUGAAAAAGGAAAUGUAAUUUGUCAGACAACAAUUUAUACGUUCAUCUGCUAUUAACUAUGUACACUCGUUAAGUUUAUACGAAAUAAUUUGACCUUUUAAUAUUAAACCACCUACAAGGAAGAGAUAUUAUGUUUUUCUUCCCUAAAUCAAUGACAGUAUAUAAUAUCCAAUAAAUAAAGUUAAAAUCGAGCAUUAAAUUUAACGUAUUAUAUUGCGAAAACAAAUAUUAUUCUGAAUGUCAAAAAAAUGGCAAGGAUGCAAGACUUGAAGUUAUGUUUUUCUAUAGGUAACUUAUGAUGGUGAAACCACAUACAUCGAAGGAAGACGAUAUUAUGUUGUUUUUCUUUCCCUCAAUCAAUACAAUUAUAUAGUAUCCUGUACAUCAUGAUAUUUGAAAUUACAAUUUAAGUAUUUAAUGUGAAAAAAAUUUCAAUUAUUAUUAUAGAUGUCAAAAUAAUAGGAAGGAAGUAAAACUUGUAGAUACAUUUGUUGUAUGGGUAACUCGUGAUGGUAUAUUCCACGUUAUAACAGCAGUCAACCCUGUCGACUAUUGAUAUUCAUUUCACUGUAUCAUGACACACGUAACAAGACGUUUAAAUUGUUUUCUCGAUUUCUUGACAUUUCUAUGGAUACAAUUAAAUAAUUGCAACAAAUCAGUGAUACUUUAGGUUAAUCAAAAUAUGUUAUAAUUAUCCUAAUGGAGGAAAACGCUUUAUAAUUUUAUUUUAUUGCAGUGACUUCACAAUUCAAGGGAAAACACGCAUGUUACUGAAUUAAGGUAAGAAUUUAUAGUUAUAUGUUGUUUUCUCUUUUUUCAAACGAUCAAAAAGUUUGAUUUAAAGCUUUUAAAAUACCUAUGGCAGUCAACUUAAUUUCAAUUAUUGUAAUAAACUUUUUUUUGUUAAGGAGUUCGCGUUAACACAAACUUAAUAGAGCAUGUGUCCUGAUCUGAGGUAUUCUUUGCAUAGUUUACUGUUCACAAAUAAUUCAUUACCUGCAUAUCCACCAUUUUUUUUUUUUUAUUUAGUUUAUUUUUAAUCUGAAUUUGAUCGAAAAUAUAAAGGAUAAGAGUCAUUUUAUGGUUGAAUAGCCGAAUUUUUGCAAAAAUAUAUGUGCAAUACUAUACGAAUGAAUUUUAUUUUAUGAUUUUUUUAGUCCUGGACUUAAAUGACUUUUCUUCUGUGUAUUCAAAUAACAUUAACAAGUGAAUGUGUUCACAUAAUUCAAAUGUAAUAAUUUAAAACAGUAUGUGCACUCAUGAUGCACUGCACGGGAACAAUAUUUUUUUUCUGUAUUUUUUUCUUUUUUACAAGACAUUUCUACAAUCUCAAAUAUUUGUUUUGUCUUUUUAAAUUCUUUACCAUAAAUCAGGUUGUUAGUUUUCUGGUUUGUGUUGUGUAACAUUUGUCAUUCUUGGCACUUUAUAGUUUACUGUAACGGUAUUGGAUUUCCUCAUGAUUCAGGGUCGUAUAAAGACCUAUGCAUGGUUACAUCUGUUCCCCUUGGUUCCUGUCGUAUAAUUGUCUCAUGGGCAAUUAUAACACAUCUCAUCUCUUUAUUUCCAUAAAUGCCUCUAAAUAGAUGAAUAACUGUAAGGGCAUAUCAUGUUUAACCUGAUGGGAAAGCACCAAAAGUCCAGAUUAAAAGUUUUAUGUUGACUCGAUGGGGUUCUCCUGCAUUCGUGACAAGAAUGCUUUAAUGAGAUUAUAGAAACGAAUUUUAAAAUGAAAAGUGUCUAUAAUGCAAUUAAAAAUAUGUGUACGCUUACAUUGUGUGGCAAUGAUCUUACCUCGAAUAUAUAGAUAAUUAAUUUGUAGACUAUAGAUUUUAAUUGCAAGUAAAGGUCAAUGCAUAGCAAGGUUCACUAAAUAAGUUUUUAGAUCUGUGUUUAUUUUUAUAGUUAUACUCAAAAAUAUUUCUGUAUUAUCAUUUUCCCUGACAACAAUUUCAAAGGUAGUUCUAUACGGUCCCAAAGCACAAACUGUCAACUAUAUCCAACAUGGCGUAUUUUUUCGUUCUGCUAUUUUUUAAUUUACCUUCAGAAGGAGAACACAACAAAUCUUCCAAAUUGAUUUAUUUUUGUCCUGAAUAUUUCAUUAUACUGUUAGCUAUGGUAAUCAUCAAAUCUAAAUGUCAAUUAAAGGCUAUGUAGGAUAUAUAGCAAGGAGAUAUAAAAACAUUGCGAUGUUAGCCAAAUAAACAGGGAGGAGGGUGGUGGAGAAAUCUAUCAAACAUCGAAAAUACAUCUGGACCAAGUACUGUCUAAGUAUUUUUCAUAUUAAACAUGUUUAAGCAUUCUCUUUUCUUUUAUAACAUCUGUUCAAAUUGAAUGUAAUUUACAAUACAAAGAACAUAAACGAUUUGUCAUUCAUAAGAGCUUGGAAAUAAAUUAUGUGGUGGUCCAUCUGUUAAAAUACACCUUACCAUCUUUCACACACAAAGUAAGCGUAUCAUAACCUCUUUCUUAACAUAAAUCUUGAUGUUUAAAUACACUGCAUCACCCUCUUGAAUGUAUUGUCUGUAAUAUCUUAUAAUGAGUAACUUCAUUAGUUUUUAUGAACUGUAGGUUAUUGAGAGUUCCUUCGCUGGAAGUUUCAAAGAAAAUAAAAGAAUAGUUUCUAUAUACUAUGUCGCAGGUGUUUAUAAAAAGAAUCUAUAACUAUAUGAUCAAAGAUUGUGUUCACCUUUCAGCUAAAUAAAUGAGUUAAACAAUCAUGAAAAAUUUGGCAUCAGAAACAACCUAGUGGCAUCUAAAGUCGAUAUACAGUGUA
rnacentral:lncRNA from 1 species